GCGGACAUAGCUCAGUUGGGAGAGCGUCAGACUGAAGUUAACUUCACUCACAUAAUCUGAAGGUCGUGUGUUCAAUCCACACUGGCCGCA
rfam:Colletotrichum incanum strain MAFF 238704 contig2810, whole genome shotgun sequence.